rnacentral:rRNA from 1 species
CCUACGGGAGGCAGCAGUGAGGAAUAUUGGUCAAUGGGCGCGAGUCUGAACCAGCCAAGUCGCGUGAGGGAGGACGGCCCUACGGGUUGUAAACCUCUUUUGCCGGGGAGCAAAGGGAGUCACGUGUGGCGCCACUGAGAGUACCCGGAGAAAAAGCAUCGGCUAACUCCGUGCCAGCAGCCGCGGUAAUACGGAGGAUGCGAGUGUUAUCCGGAUUUCUUGGGUUUAAAGGGUGCGUAGGACGGCUUUUAAGUCAGCGGUGAAAGUCCGCGGAUCAACCGUGGAAUUGCAGUUGAAACUGGAGGCCUUGAGGGCACACAGGGAUGCCGGAAUUCAUGGUGUAGCGGUGAAAUGCUUAGAUAUCAUGAAGAACUCCGAUCGCGAAGGCAAGUGUCCGGGGUGCAACUGACGCUGAGGCUCGAAAGUGCGGGUAUCAAACAGGAUUAGAUACCCGAGUAGUC